GCCUGGGUGGCUCAGUGGUUGAGCACCUGCCUUUGGCUCAGGUGGUGAUCUGGGGGUCCUGGGAUCGAGUCCCAUAUUAGGCU
rnacentral:tRNA from 1 species